CGAGCGAACAGACGAGGAGCUUGCUCCUCUGACGUUAGCGGCGGACGGGUGAGUAACACGUGGAUAACCUACCUAUAAGACUGGGAUAACUUCGGGAAACCGGAGCUAAUACCGGAUAAUAUAUUGAACCGCAUGGUUCAAUAGUGAAAGACGGUUUUGCUGUCACUUAUAGAUGGAUCCGCGCCGCAUUAGCUAGUUGGUAAGGUAACGGCUUACCAAGGCAACGAUGCGUAGCCGACCUGAGAGGGUGAUCGGCCACACUGGAACUGAGACACGGUCCAGACUCCUACGGGAGGCAGCAGUAGGGAAUCUUCCGCAAUGGGCGAAAGCCUGACGGAGCAACGCCGCGUGAGUGAUGAAGGUCUUCGGAUCGUAAAACUCUGUUAUUAGGGAAGAACAAAUGUGUAAGUAACUAUGCACGUCUUGACGGUACCUAACCAGAAAGCCACGGCUAACUACGUGCCAGCAGCCGCGGUAAUACGUAGGUGGCAAGCGUUAUCCGGAAUUAUUGGGCGUAAAGCGCGCGUAGGCGGUUUUUUAAGUCUGAUGUGAAAGCCCACGGCCUCAACCGUGGAGGGUCAUUGGAAACUGGAAAACUUGAGUGCAGAAGAGGAAAGUGGAAUUCCAUGUGUAGCGGUGAAAUGCGCAGAGAUAUGGAGGAACACCAGUGGCGAAGGCGACUUUCUGGUCUGUAACUGACGCUGAUGUGCGAAAGCGUGGGGAUCAAACAGGAUUAG
rnacentral:rRNA from 1 species